CCUACGGGAGGCAGCAGUGGGGAAUAUUGGGCAAUGGGCGAAAGCCUGACGCAGCAACGCCGCGUGAAGGAAGAAGGCUUUCGGGUUGUAAACUUCUGUUAAGAGGGACGAGCAGAAGACGGUACCUCUUGAAUAAGCCACGGCUAACGACGUCCCAGCAGCCGGGGUAAUACGUAGGUGGCAAGCGUUGUCCGGAUUUACGGGGUGUAAAGGGCGUGCAGCCGGGAAGACAAGUCAGGUGUGAAAUCCGGGGGCUCAACCGCGGAACUGCAUUGGAAACUGUUUAUCUUGAGUACCGGAGAGGUAAUCGGAAUUCCUGGUGUAGCGGUGAAAUGCGUAGAUAUAAGGAAGAACACCAGUGGCGAAGGCGGAUGACUGGACGGCAACUGACGGUGAGGCGCGAAAGCGGGGGGAGCAAACAGGAUUAGAUACCCUGGUAGUC
rnacentral:rRNA from 1 species